CUGCCUUUGUACACACCGCCCGUCGCUACUACCGAUUGAAUGGCUCAGUGAGGCGUCCGGACUGGCCCAGAGAGGUGGGCAACUACCACUCAGGGCCGGAAAGCUCUCCAAACUCGGUCAUUUAGAGGAAGUAAAAGUCGUAACAAGGUCUCCGUUGGUGAACCAGCGGAGGGAUCAUUACCGAGUUUACAACUCCCAAACCCCUGUGAACAUACCACUUGUUGCCUCGGCGGAUCAGCCCGCUCCCGGUAAAACGGGACGGCCCGCCAGAGGACCCCUAAACUCUGUUUCUAUAUGUAACUUCUGAGUAAAACCAUAAAUAAAUCAAAACUUUCAACAACGGAUCUCUUGGUUCUGGCAUCGAUGAAGAACGCAGCAAAAUGCGAUAAGUAAUGUGAAUUGCAGAAUUCAGUGAAUCAUCGAAUCUUUGAACGCACAUUGCGCCCGCCAGUAUUCUGGCGGGCAUGCCUGUUCGAGCGUCAUUUCAACCCUCAAGCCCUCGGGUUUGGUGUUGGGGAUCGGCGAGCCCUUGCGGCAAGCCGGCCCCGAAAUCUAGUGGCGGUCUCGCUGCAGCCUCCAUUGCGUAGUAGUAAAACCCUCGCAACUGGAACGCGGCGCGGCCAAGCCGUUAAACCCCCAACUUCUGAAUGUUGACCUCGGAUCAGGUAGGAAUACCCGCUGAACUUAAGCAUAUCAAUAAGCGGAGGAA
rnacentral:rRNA from 1 species